rnacentral:rRNA from 1 species
GACGAACGCUGGCGGCGUGCCUAAUACAUGCAAGUAGGACGCAGUUGCGAACGGGUGAGUAACGCGUAGGUAACUGCCUAUUAGAGGGGGAUAACUAUUGGAAACGAUAGCUAAUACCGCAUACUAGUAGAUGGACGUGCGUUGUAUUAGCUAGUAGGUAGGGUAAUGGCCUCCCGAGGCAACGAUACAUAGCCGACCUGGGAGGGUGAUCGGCCACACUGGGACUGAGACACGGCCCAGACUCCUACGGGAGGCAGCAGUAGGGAAUCGUCGGCAAUGGGUGGAACCCUGACCAAGCAACGCCGCGUGAGUGAAGAAGGGUUUCGGAUCGUAAAGCUCUUUUGUUAAGGAAGCGGUACUUAACCAGAAAGGGACGGCUAACUACGUGCCAGCAGCCGCGGUAAUAC